AUUGAACGCUGGCGGCAGGCCUAACACAUGCAAGUCGAGCGGCAGCGGGAAAGUAGCUUGCUACUUUUGCCGGCGAGCGGCGGACGGGUGAGUAAUGCCUGGGGAUCUGCCCAGUCGAGGGGGAUAACUACUGGAAACGGUAGCUAAUACCGCAUACGCCCUACGGGGGAAAGCAGGGGACCUUCGGGCCUUGCGCGAUUGGAUGAACCCAGGUGGGAUUAGCUAGUUGGUGAGGUAAUGGCGCACCAAGGCGACGAUCCCUAGCUGGUCUGUGAGGAUGAGCAGCCAGACUGGAACUGAGACACGGUCCAGACGCAUACGGGAGGCAGCAGUGGGGAAUAUUGCACAAUGGGGGAAACCCUGAUGCAGCCAGGCCGCGUGUGUGAAGAAGGCCUUCGGGUUGUAAAGCACUUUCAGCGAGGAGGAAAGGUUGGUAGCUAAUAACUGCCAGCUGUGACGUUACUCGCAGAAGAAGCACCGGCUAACUCCGUGCCAGCCGCCGCCGUAA
rnacentral:rRNA from 1 species